AAAUUUUUUAGUAUAAUUAUUACAUAUGAUUUCCAAUCAUAAGAUUUAUAAAAA
rnacentral:tRNA from 1 species